CCUACGGGUGGCAGCAGUCGAGAAUCAUUCACAAUGGGGGAAACCCUGACCGAGCAACGCCGCGUGAAGGAAGAAGGAAUUCGUUCUGUAAACUUCUGUUAUAAAGGAAGAAAGACGGAUGGAGGAAAUGACAUCCGAGUGACGGUACUUUAUGAGACAGCCACGUCUAACAACGUGCCAGCAGCCGCGGUAAUACGUAGGUGGCAAGCGUUAUCCGGAUUUAUUGGGCGUAAAGAGGGAGCAGGCGGCAGCAAAGGUCUGGGGUGAAAGACUGAGGCUUAACUUCAGUAAGCCAUAGAAACCGGGCAGCUAGAGUGCAGGGGAGGUUCGUGGAAUUCCAUGUGUAGCGGUGAAAUGCGUAGAUAUAUGGAGGAACACCAGUGGCGAAGGCGACGAUCUGGAGUGCAACUGACGCUCAGUCCCGAAAGCGUGGGGAGCAAAUAGGAUUAGAUACCCCUGUAGUC
rnacentral:rRNA from 1 species